rnacentral:rRNA from 1 species
GUCCACGCCGUAAACGAUGGGCGCUAGGUGUGGGCGGUGUCGACUCCGUCCGUGCCGAAGCUAACGCAUUAAGCGCCCCGCCUGGGGAGUACGGCCGCAAGGCUAAAACUCAAAGGAAUUGACGGGGGCCCGCACAAGCAGCGGAGCAUGUGGUUUAAUUCGACGCAACGCGAAGAACCUUACCAGGGCUUGACUCGCACGGGAAUGCCGUAGAAACACGGCAGCCUUUCGGGGCCCGUGUACAGGUGGUGCAUGGCUGUCGU